UACGUAGGGGGCAAGCGUUAUCCGGAUUUACUGGGUGUAAAGGGAGCGUAGACGGAACUGCAAGUCUGAUGUGAAAAUCCGGGGCCCAACCCCGGAAGUGCAUUGGAAACUGUAUUUCUAGAGUGUCGGAGAGGCAAGUGGAAUUCCUGGUGUAGCGGUGAAAUGCGUAGAGAUCGGGAGGAACACCAGUGGCGAAGGCGGCCUACUGGGCUCUAACUGACGCUGAGGCACGAAAGCGUGGGUAGCAAACAGG
rnacentral:rRNA from 1 species